UAAACUGCUUAAAAGAAAAAUGAAAUGCAAAGUAUGCCACCAGGAAACAAAACUGAAGAAAAGGGUGAACAACGGAGACCAAUAUGCCUGGAUCUGUCGAGGAGCAGCACAUGGUGGACGCGUUAAACAAAUCUCUGUCAGACACAAGUCCCUUUUCAGCCGUUCGAAAGUCUCACUUCAACACUGGAUGCAAUCUAUCUACAGGUAAGCAUAAACACUACACAAAAAGGAACUAAAUUUAAAUGACUCUUUGUAAGGAUGUUAUUUUUCUCCCUGAAGAUUCUCUCAGGAUCUCAGAUUACGUCAAAUUGACAUGAUGGAUGACACCAUUGCAAGCAGUACGACAACACUUAGUAAAAUGUCCAAAAAAUUAAGGAGGGUAUGUGUGGCUGCAGUUCAAAGAAUGAGAUGUCGUACAGGUCAGUAGAUUGGUGGCCGAAGGGAGUUUGUUGUGAUCGAUGAGAGUCAUUUUCAUCGCAAAUGAAAGGUAAGUUUUGUAAUAGAAAUUAUAUAUUACAUCUAUAUGACAACCUUUCACAGCACUUUUUUGCCAUUUGUCUUAAUUGUUUUCUUUCUGCAUCAGUAUGGGAGAGGAAGAAUGGCAGGGGGCUGGAAAAGAAGAAAGUGGGUGUUCGGAAUGCUGGGCAUAAAAAAAUCAGCGUAGAACAAGGCCUAUCUUGCGUCUUGUGGAGAAAAAAUCUCAAAGACAUCUUGUUCCUCUGAUCACUCUUCAUGUCAGGAUUGGUUCCUUGGUGAUAAGUGAUGAAUGGCGGGCCUAUCGCAUUCUCCCAAACGUAGGUUGUGGACAUUAUACUGUUAACCACAGCAGAUGGUAUGUGGACCCUCUAACAGGUGCCUAUACCCAACAUCUGCAGAGAGCCUGGAGGUCUUACAAGGAGAGAAUUUGGAGACUCCGGGGUAACAGAAAUGACAGCCUACUAUCAGAACACCUUACAGUUAUUGAGUGGAACGAAUGGCUUGCAAAAAAGCACAAACAGGGUGCUUUAGGGAGACUGAUAUAUGACAUUUUAAAAAAAAUACAGAUAAAAAAGUUACUGUUGCAACUGCAGGUUUUUUUUUCACCUUUUGAAAAUAUUUGAGCAUUUCAUGUAAAAACAUACAAUUCAUAAAAGUGCAUCGAGCCUUGUUCUUUACUUCAAAUACUGGCUAAUAGUGGUUCAGCACAAUGUUUGUUUUGACAGUUGUGUGUCAAUAUUUGUAAGCAUUGUUUUGAUGUUUUAUAAUUGGCAUCUUAAAAAUAAAGUGCUUUCUGUA